ACCAAAGAAUACAAGAAGAAGGUGCAAAAUACUGCACCCAGAACCCAGAAAAAAAAGAAAAGAAAAACAGAAACCCAACAACAAGAAAAUCCCUUACAAAAAUCAAAGAAAAAUAAAAAAGAACCCUAACAACAGAUUAAGGAGGUAUGAUGAAGAAGUGAUCCCAUCCAGCAAUGACAAGAGAAGUGUUAAUACCAGCGAAGCACGAGGCAUCUUUAGCCCAAUGUUAGUGUUAAUACCCUUCGUUCUUCUUUCUUCUUCGUCCCCAAAUCACACAGAAACUCCAAUAUAGAAAUGGAUGUUGUUGUAAGAGAGAAUUAGAGAGCGGAAUCGAGAAGAACCAGGGAUUGACAAUGGUUUUUCUCAGAAGAGGGUUAUGAAGGGAGAAGAUCAAAUUCCGUGCAACUCAGAUGAAGAACCAGAGAUGAGGAACGAGUUCAAGUUAGGGUGCUUGGAAUUGAGAAGGGAUUGAUGGUUCGAUUUGUGAGGAAUCUGCAAAGUAGAAGAGAUUUGAGCAGAUGGGUCCAAUUCAGAAAGAGGAAAUUAGGGAUUGAAUUUGUUUAGGAUUUGUUGUUUAACCAAGGAAAAAGGUUUUUUCUGUGAGAAGAGAUGGAGAAUUCGAUUGAUGCUGUCAUUGAUCUUUGAUAAAGAGAUAGUGAGAGGGGGUUUGAUUCUAAUGACGGGGAUUAAACAAUUGUGAAGAUGACUCUGCUAAUGUUAGGGUUUUGAGAUUGAAGAGAUGAUGCAACUGAUGAAUGGGUUUUGCAGUCGGUGAUGUGACUGAAGCUGAGACCGGCUAGAAACUGGAAUGGUGUUGAUGGGAUUCAAUUUUGUGGAAUACAAUUUCAAAUUGAAUCCAUGGAUAAGAAUUCAAUAUAUGGUUAAGUGGUGGUCUACUGUAUGUAGAUUUUGGCUAUGGAUUCCAUGGAUACAUCACCGAAAAUGGCACCAGUAAUGAUGUGUUUGUAGGUAGCUCUCCCGUAGAUAUGUACGGCAAAUUUGGGUUGCCAGAGAUGACGUAAGCUUGUUUACGGACAUGCCAGAGAGAAACUUGGUUUCUUGGAAUUCGAUGAUUUCCUGCUGCAACAGAAAUAACCUUCCCGAACUGUCCAUUGAUCUUUUCCCUCAGAUUAUGCACCACAGACCGAUGCCAAAUUCCGUUUCCAUCACAAGUUUACUAGUUUCGGUUUCCUCACUGGCUGCAUUGCAGAAAGGUAAAACUGUACAUGCAUAUUUAAUGAAACUUGAGAUUCAGUUAGAUGUUCAGGUGGAAACCUUCUAUGUCAGACUUGGUUUUAGUUGUGUUUUGGAUUCAAUUGGGCUUGAGUUAUGAACUUUUAAGUUUGAAUUCUUGGAUCUUAUUAGAUUAGGGUUGAUUGAUUCAGGUGAUGUAGAGUCAGGGUUUCAUUCAAUUAAUUCAACUGAAUUUCAAUUAGGGUUUAAUGCAAAUAUGAUUAAUCUGGCGUUCUUACUAAAGACUUCAUGAAGGUGCUGAUUCAUGAGUUCAUACCAAUGGAAAGUGAUCACCAUUCCGACUUGCAGAUUCUAACUUACUGGAUGAUAAUGCAAGUUGAUAAUCCGACCUCGAUACUGAGAAUCCCUUAUGUGCACCGUUAACCGGUAUCCCAGAUCAAACUUAAAGAAAACAACAUUUAAGGGCGAGUCAAUUUCUUCGCUUCUUAGGAAUGGUUCCCGGUACAUUUCACUAGAGAUCAACUUUGAACCAAAAAUGCAUUUAUUGUCUUUCUGUACAGUUGUUUGGAUAACUUAGUAAUAACCUCAGUUCUAUUACAUGAGGUGACAUAUGAGGUGGGUCGUUGAUACCAAAACCGUAUACUUUUUUUCUGUUGUAUUUUAUGAGUUGGGUGGUCAUAUGAGUGACACCGAAGUGUUUGUAUUACUUUAUACUCCAAAAAUCUCUUUUUCUGCAAUGGAUAUGCACGAGAUGUAAUAACUUGUUGUCUUGGUUAGUAAUUGAUGGAACUGGAAAAUUUCUAUGAGAAUAAAGCGUAGUAAGCCACUUGAAGAAUGUUGGGAUUUGAUGUUGAGAUCUUUAAAACCGGUGAAACUGAUUAGUGUACAUAAAAUGACUUCACAAGUAGUCCCUUGUAAGACACCUCCUCCUCCUGAACUUCCGUCUGACAAAAAGAGAGAUGAUUUGGGAAGGGUAAGUAUUUGGCCGAGCCAAUUCAUAACAAUACUUUCUAACUCGGUUGCUGCUGGUGAAGAAAUCCAAUUGAAGCCUACAACAUUAAAUCCAGUACUAAGUAUUUCACCAAGGAACUCAGCAAGGAACCACUUGAAGGAAAAUAAGCGAAGUAAUUUGGACUAUGCCAAUGAGUAAGACCAGAGAUGAUAUCAUUGGUUACAUCUUGAAGAAUGGUUUCAAUGGAUCCAGAGUUGUUUGGAGAUGAUUCGGGUAAUCGUUUACGCAAGUAUCUAGGCUCAACUUGACUCCUAACAGGAUAACUCUCAACAUUUUUGCAGUAAUCAGCAAGGAAAUCAAUGAUCAUAUGACCUUGCCUUCUGAAAUCAUCCGGCUCAAGUGGGUUUUGUGAACAUAUUGACAUGCUUUCAAGGUUGUAGGAAUUACCAAUAGGUACUAUUAUGGUAGUCUUAGUUAAUGGCAGGUCCACCCACUAAAGCCCAGUAACCAGAGGUCCAUAAUAAAAGGAAAAAGAGAAAAUUGGACCAAAUUUUUUAUCCUCUGGUCCGGUACACGUGCGGGACCGGUAAUGUGUAAUUUCGAAUUCCCAAAUUAACCUUCCACCUCUAGAUAUUUAAUCUCCUGGUUCUUAUCGUCACCUUCUCUUUCAAUUUUUGGUUUUGCUCCAAAGAAGCUUUCACGCUGGAGAUCUUUUUGAUUUCGUUAAUUGAGUCGCCAAUUCGAUCCCAAAGCUAUCGUUUUGUAUAUUAUAGAAGAACUCCUCCGAUGAAGAUUUUUGCAAGAUAUAUAGCUGAUUGUUGUGUAUGAACCAACAAUACGUAUAUCCCGUACUGACAGAAACCUAGUCUACUUUUAAGAAGAAGAAGAAGAAGAAGAACAAGAUGGUGCAUCGUUAUGAUUUACGAGGAGAAUAUUUGUUUUCUGUUUCCAGUACUGGAAUUGGAUAUGGAGAUGAUCUGGAGCUGCAGUUCGG